UACGUAGGGUGCGAGCGUUAAUCGGAAUUACUGGGCGUAAAGCGUGCGCAGGCGGCUUUGCAAGACAGAGGUGAAAUCCCCGGGCUCAACCUGGGAACUGCCUUUGUGACUGCAAGGCUAGAGUACGGCAGAGGGGGAUGGAAUUCCGCGUGUAGCAGUGAAAUGCGUAGAUAUGCGGAGGAACACCGAUGGCGAAGGCAAUCCCCUGGGCCUGUACUGACGCUCAUGCACGAAAGCGUGGGGAGCAAACAGGAUUAGA
rnacentral:rRNA from 2 species